AGCUGAGAUUCUCCCAAAAUCACUUGACUCAAGAAGCUGAGGCUUUAAGAAAAACACCAGUGAUUAUGAAUCUCGUGACAAAACUGCAAGAGUUGGCAACAGCAUGAGACAGUGCUGUUAUGUAUAUGGGAUCAGAUCCUGGUGACUUCUGCAGUCUGGGGAUUAUCACAUGGAGUGGGCAUCAUGUUCGAGCAAGAGUAAAAAUGCAGUUUCUAAAGCUGGGGAAAUGUAAGUUUGAUCAAGAUCAUUAUUAAGAAAGAGUUAUUGCAGCACAACAGCAACAACCACCAUCCACAGAAACCCACAAACUCUAGGAGAUGAUGAUGAUGUUGUUUUUUGUCU